rnacentral:lncRNA from 1 species
UGGCAAUAGCGAAUCGUAAAUUAUACAAUUAACUAGAAAAUCAGAUUUUUAGUAUUUUUCAAUGAUUUGUGUUGGGGAUCCUAGGAGUUCAAUCAACCAAAACAUCAACCCAUAGACAAGAUUCAAGGCAAAACAAUGAAAAAGGGGAUGGAAAAAUACAACCUGUGUUCGGCUGGAAAUUUCUGCAGUUUUCCUUCAUCGUUUCAGCAGCUUCUUCUUCGAUUUAUGGGUGUUUUUCAGGCUCAGGAACAGCCUUCCAUGACUUGCUAAUUACCUUCCAAGAGAGAGGGGAAAACCAAUGAAGAACCAUAACCCUUUGCUAAACCAACCGAGAGCUCCUCUCUGCUGGGAGAAAAGAAACCGAGAGCUGCACCUUUUUAAAAUGGUAGAGGGUAAGUCUACAUAAGAAGGAAAGACCAUGCCUCUGCCAAAAACGUGGGAAGACCUUAUUGUGUCAACAUCAAUACCAUCAAGUCACAAGUUGAUAGUGUUAGGUGAACCAUAUCCUCACAUUCUUCAUCUUGGUUCUCCUAACACUCUCUCUUGGUUGCGAAUUUGCACAUGGAAGAACUGUUCAUCAUCAUCGCCCACCACGUGCAAGAAAAUUAACCAGUGUCAAUGUGUAAUAAAGAUAAGCACAAUCUAAAUUUACUUGCAGGUAGAAUUUUUGUUCCCAUAUCAGAGGGAUUCCUAUCAGUGUGAAUUUUAACAAGAUUAACUUCACCUUGAGACAAUUUCUCACGUAUAAAAUGAUACUUUACCUCAAUAUGUUUAGUUCUUUCAUGGUAAACAGGAUUUUCACAAAGCAAUAAAGCACUUUGACUAUCAGUAAACAUAACAGGUGUAUCAUGCAUGAAGUUCAAUUCUUUUAAAAUUCCUUUUAACUAAGUACAUUCUUUAGCCGCCUCAGUUAUGACAACAUAUUCUGCCUCAGUACUUGACAAAGUAACUAAAGGCUGCAGCUGUGACUUCCAUGUUAUACAAUUGUUACCUAGUGUAAAAAAGUACGCUGUGGUAGACUUUCUGCUAUCCUUGUCACCAGCAAAAUCAGAGUCUACAUACCCCUUUAGAGUAAGUUUUUCAGAUCUCUUUUCAUACACUAGAUCCAGAUUUCUGUGACUUCCAUGUUAUACAAUUGUCACCUAGUGUAAAAAAGUACGCUGUGGUAGACUUUCUGCUAUCCUUGUCACCAGCAAAAUCAGAGUCUACAUAUCCCUUUAGAGUAAGUUUUUCAGAUCUCUUUUCAUACACUAGACCCAGAUUUAAUGUACCAACAAUGUACCUUAACAACCAUUUCAAACCUGCCCAAUGAGGCUUUCCUGGGUUUGACAUAAAUCUACUCAAAAAGCUUAUAGCAUAGGCUAAGUCAGGCCUGGUUGUUAUCAUAGAGAACAUGACGGAACCUAUAGCAUUAGCGUAGGCUAUGUUCCUCAUUUCUCUAAAUUCCUCCUCAGUCUUAGGAGAUUGUGCACCAGAAAGAUUCAUAUGAGCUGCUAAGGGAACGUUCACAGAUUUUGAUCCAUUCAUACCAAAUUUGGUUAUGACUUUGUUUAGAUAGGCUUCUUGGGAAAUGACUAGUCUAUUUUCAGCCCUAUCUCUCUUUAUAACCAUCCCCAAAAUCUUCUUAGCACUCCCCAAAUCUUUCAUAUCAAAUUCUGAUUUUAAAAGGUUCUUCAUCUUAGUGAUUUCAGUCUUACUUGAACUUGCUAGAAGCAUGUCAUCUACAUACAGCAACAAGUAUUGUACUGAACAACCAAUGCAAGAACCAGUCUGAUUGUUUUGUACUUUAUCACAGGAGAGAAUAUCUCAUUGUAAUCAACCCCCUCCUUUUGAGUGAACCCUUUCGCCACUAAUCUGGCCUUAUACCUAGGAGGAUCACUAGGAUUAUUUCCUUCUUUCAAUUUGUAAAUCCACUUACAUUGAACUAUCCUAUGAUCCUUAGGUUUGUUAACUAACUUCCAAGUUUUAUUCUCCAUUAGAGAUUCCAUUUCUUCCCGCAUAGCUUUUAGCCAAUUUUCAGAACAUUUUCCAUUAACAGCUUCUUCAUAACUAGCAGGUUCUAUCUGUUCAAGGGCUUCACCUGAAACUAAGGCAAAAUCAGUCAAGUUUGGGGAUUCAUAUCUAGGAUUUGGCCUGAUCUGCCUCCUCCCCCGAUCCCUAGUAAGCUGAUAAUCUUGAUUAGGUGGCUGAUCAUUAAAAUGUUCAACUUCAACUGGUUCAAUGUUAUCUUGAAGUUUAGUCACCUCUUCAGGUUCAGGUUCAGGUUCAGGUUCAGGUUCAAUUUCAAUUUCAUUUUCAUUUUCAUGAUGUAUAGGGUCAUUUUCGUCAUUCCCAGGUGUAGGUGAAUUUAGCCUAGUCAGCUUCACCUCAGUCUGAAUACUCUUCUCAGUUUCAGAUUUGUUAGUUUCUUCGGUUUGCUGUUUUAGACAUGGCAUCUCAGAUUCAUUAAAGACUACAUUCCUGCUGUUAAUAAUAUUAAUGCCUUGGAACCCUAAAACCCAUAACCUAUAGCCCUUCACACCCUCGGGAUACCCUAACAUCACACACUUGACAGCCCUGGGCUCAAGUUUCCCUUCAGAUUGAUGUGCAUAUGCAGUACAUCCAAACACCCUCAAGUGUUCCAGAUUUGGAGGCUCUCCCGUCCACAACUCCUGUGGGGUCUUAAACCCUAUACUGCUGGACGGAGACCUAUUAAUCAGAUAAGCUGCAGUACUUGCAGCUUCAGCCCAAAAACCUUUCGCAAGGUCAGAGCUAAUCAACAUACACCUAACUUUGUUCAUUAUGGUCCUGUUCAUUCUUUCAGCGAUCCCAUUUUGUUCAGGUGUGUAUUUAACAGUUCUGUGUCUUGUUAUACCUUUCUGCUUACAGAAAUUGUCAAAUUCUCUAUUACAGAAUUCAAGCCCAUUAUCAGUUUUUAACGUUUUAAGUUUCUUAUCUAACUGAUUCUCAACAGACUUUAACCAAAUCCUGAAUUUUCCAAAAGUUUCCGACUUAGCCUUCAAAGGAUGAAUCGAAACAUUUCUUGAGUAAUCAUCCACUAAGGACAAGAAGUACUUGCUCCCACCAAAUGUGGAGUGCUUCUCCGAGCCCCAUAGAUCAGCAUGGACAUAGUCCAAUGGUCUGCUGGUCCUAUGAGAGCUAGCUUCAAAGCUCACCUUAUGAGACUUACCCAAAACACAAGUUUCACAGAAUUCCAUAGUUUCAAUGUCAUCUUUUCCAAGUAAUUUCUGAUUACUUAAAGAUUUUAGACCUUUAAACCCAAUGUGACCCAUUCUGUUAUGCCAAAGUUCAGUUUUGUCUUUACUCACAGCAAGAAGGCUAGAAUCAAAUGGUAUUUCAGUUCUACCCUCAAGAUAGUACAGCCCAUUCCUCUUGGGCCCCUUCAUAACUAUAAGAGAACCCUUCAUAAUUUUCAAAAUCUUGUUACCAGACUUGAACGUAUAUCCCUCAUCUUCCAGAGAACCUAAGGAAAUGAGGUUCCUCUUUAAAUUUAGGACAUAUCUAACAUUUCUAAGUUGCGUGACGGCCCCAUCGUACAUCCUGAUGGCUAUGUCACCAACUCCAAUCACAUUUUGAGAAUUAUUGUUUUCUUUUCAGAUCUUCCCCUAACAAAUAGACUCUCUUCACGAGAAUGAAUUCUGUUCUCUCUUUUUAAUUCAAGUUCUCUUGAUUUUAAAGCAUCAGAAACAAUAGCUUGAGUGAGAGUGUCCCUACCAUACUUUAUGGCAUUUUUCAUUUCUCUGUAAGAUUCGGGCAAAGAGUUUAGCAAUAUGACAGCUAAAUCCUCAUCAUCAAAUGUUUUAUCAUUAUGAGCUAGACUCUUAACAAUUAUGCUAAAGUCACUCAAAUUCCCCUCGACAUCCUUCCCCGGGUCCAUCUUAAAACUAAACAACUUCUCCAACAGGUAUAUUUUGUUAGGUAAAGUUUUAGUUAAGAACAGGGCAUCUAAAGCAAUCCACAAAGCUCUAGCAGUUUUAGCACUAUCAACUUGUCUCACAAUAUUGUUAGAUAGAUGCAAAAUUAUAUAACUGUAAGCAAUUUCAUUCAUGUCUUCAAUUUCAGUUGUUUUAGCUUUUAACUCAUCAGAAAAUGUAGCGGGAUCAUCAAGAGCUUUAGCAACUCUCUGUUGGAUCAAAAUGGCCCUCGUUUUCUGUUUCCAUAUCGAGUAAUCCCCCUUUCCAUCGAAUUGCGAUAAUUCGACCCUCGAACCCAUUAUAGAUUCUAUAAAAGAGUGGCCUCUACUCGUGGACACAACAAAAAAGGUUUUGAAAAAUUCUUUUCCAGAUGAUUAAUAUAAAACUGAGUACCGAGUUUAAAAACAAUUUUUUAUAAAUGAAGCAUAACAGUGAAAUAAUCCGUUCACGAAACACAGGUAUAUAAAGCAGGUAAAUAUGCUUCCAGGUUACAAAUUAAUCACAAGAAUUUAAUCAAUAGAAUUCACAAAUAAGCAACCAAGCAAUAACCAUGCAUAAACCGGUAAGGAUACCAAACCUAACCUAACGGAGAGUUUGGAAUAAUCUUACCAAACUACUGUUGACAAACAGUAAAUAUACCAACAAAUUUCUGAACCAAAUUGCCGUAGACGUCAAGGUAGGGGCAAAAUCGUCCAACUUUUUCUGUAAAAUCUGAAACAGAAAACAAACGACAUCAGUGCGUUCAGGACGUCAAAAUAAGUAAACUGCCCGAAAAGAGCUCGCCGGAGGUCCGGCCACGCGCCGCCGCCGGUCACGCGCCCCACCACAGGGUGCGCCUCCUCCUGCUGGUCAUGGUUCCAUGGUUCAUUUCGCCGGAAAGUCAAUAGGUUGGCCGGAAAUCAAGUUUUUCAUAUUCGGUUAAAAAAUGGUAAUGGCGAUUCCUUGCUGGUUUUUGAUCGAUUUUGGACUAAUAUCACUCCUCCUAGCUCUGAUACCAGUUUGUUGGGGAUCCUAGGAGUUCAAUCAACCAAAACAUCAACCCAUAGACAAGAUUCAAGGCAAAACAAUGAAAAAGGGGAUGGAAAAAUACAACCUGUGUUCGGCCGGAAAUUUCUGCAGUUUUCCUUCAUCGUUUCAGCAGCUUCUUCUUCGAUUUAUGGGUGUUUUUCAGGCUCAGGAACAGCCUUCCAUGACUUGCUAAUUACCUUCCAAGAGAGAGGGGAAAACCAAUGAAGAAUCACAACCCUUUGCUAAACCAACCGAGAGCUCCUCUCUGCUGGGAGAAAAGAAACCG